rnacentral:tRNA from 1 species
GUCAGGAUGGCCGAGCGUUCCUAGGCGCUGCGUUCAGGUCGCAGUCCAGUUAACUGAGCGAGGAUUCGAAUUCCUUUUCUGACA